rnacentral:rRNA from 1 species
GGAUUCCCCUAGUAACUGCGAGUGAAGCGGGAAAAGCUCAAAUUUAAAAUCUGGUGGUCUUUGGCCGUCCGAGUUGUAGUCUGGAGAAGCGUCUUCCGCGCUGGACCGUGUACAAGUCUCUUGGAACAGAGCGUCAUAGAGGGUGAGAAUCCCGUCUUUGACACGGACUACCAGUGCUUUGUGAUGCGCUCUCAAAGAGUCGCGUUGUUUGGGAAUGCAGCGCAAAAUGGGAGGUGAAUUCCUUCUAAAGCUAAAUAUUGGCGAGAGACCGAUAGCGAACAAGUACCGUGAGGGAAAGAUGAAAAGCACUUUGGAAAGAGAGUUAAACAGUACGUGAAAUUGCUGAAAGGGAAACGCUUGAAGUCAGUCGCGUCGUCCGGAACUCAGCCUUGCUUCGGCUUGGUGCACUUUCCGGUUGACGGGCCAGCAUCGAUUUUGACCGCUGGAAAAGGGCUGGAGGAAUGUGGCACCUUCGGGUGUGUUAUAGCCUUCAGUCGCAUACAGCGGUUGGGAUCGAGGAACGCAGCGCGCCUUAUGGCUGGGGUUCGCCCACAUUCGCGCUUAGGAUGCUGGCAUAAUGGCUUUAAACGACCCGUCUUGAAACACGGACCAAGGAGUCUAACAUGCCUGCGAGUGUUUGGGUGGAAAACCCGAGCGCGUAAUGAAAGUGAAAG